UACGGGGGGGGGCAAGCGUUGUUCGGAAUUACUGGGCGUAAAGGGCCAGUAGGCGGCCAACUAAGUCGGAUGUGAAAUCCCCAGGCUUAACCUGGGAACUGCAUCCGAUACUGGAUGGCUUGAAUUCGGGAGAGGGAUGCAGAAUUCCAGGUGUAGCGGUGAAAUGCGUAGAUAUCAGGAAGAACACCAAUGGCGAAGGCAGCACUCUGGGACGGUACUGACGCUGAGACGCGAAAAGCGUGGGGAGCGAACAGG
rnacentral:rRNA from 1 species